rnacentral:rRNA from 1 species
GAUGAACGCUGGCGGCGUGCCUAAUACAUGCCAGUCGAGCGAACAGACGAGGAGCUUGCUCCUCUGACGUUAGCGGCGGACGGGUGAGUAACACGUGGAUAACCUACCUAUAAGACUGGGAUAACUUCGGGAAACCGGAGCUAAUACCGGGUAAUAUAUUGAACCGCAUGGUUCAAUAGUGAAAGACGGUUUUGCUGUCACUUAUAGAUGGAUCCGCGCCGCAUUAGCUAGUUGGUAAGGUAACGGCUUACCAAGGCGACGAUGCGUAGCCGACCUGAGAGGGUGAUCGGCCACACUGGAACUGAGACACGGUCCAGACUCCUACGGGAGGCAGCAGUAGGGAAUCUUCCGCAAUGGGCGAAAGCCUGACGGAGCAACGCCGCGUGAGUGAUGAAGGUCUUCGGAUCGUAAAACUCUGUUAUUAGGGGAGAACAAAUGUGUAAGUAACUAUGCACGUCUUGACGGUACCUAAUCAGAAAGCCACGGCUAACUACGUG